CUUGAUCGACCCGAGCAGCAGCGGCCGGCCGUCCUGCGGACGCUCCUGGCCGUACGUGUCGAGCAGGGCCUGCGCCUC
rfam:Actinobacteria bacterium OV450 ctg81, whole genome shotgun sequence.